AGGAAGGAGGGGUGGCCUGACCCCUCGGCAGUCCCUCCCCUCAGCCUUUCCCCAAAUUGCUACUUCCCUGGGGCUCCAGGUCCCGCUUGUGCUCAGCUCCAGCUCACCGGCUGGCCACCGAGACCUCUGGACAGGGAACUGCACCAUCCUCUUCUCCCAGCAAGGGGGCUCCAGAGACUGCCCACCCAGGAAGUCUGGUGGCCUGGGGAUUUGGAAGGAUCAGGUGGAGAAGGGAGCUGAGGCCAGAAAGGAGCCCAGUUCUAGAAGAGUAUAACCUGGGUCCUUCCUGCAGGACAGUGCCUUGGUAAUGACCAGGGCUCCAGGAAGAGAUGUCCUUGUGGCUGGGGGCCCCUGUGCCUGACAUUCCUCCUGACUCUGCGGUGGAGCUGUGGAAGCCAGGCGCACAGGAUGCAAGCAGCCAGGCCCAGGGAGGCAGCAGCUGCAUCCUCAGAGAGGAAGCCAGGAUGCCCCACUCUGCCGGGGGUACUGCAGGGGUGGGGCUGGAGGCUGCAGAGCCCACAGCCCUGCUCACCAGGGCAGAGCCCCCUUCAGAACCCACAGCGUCAUCAAGGGAGCGCGCUACGUCUGCCACAGUGGCGGCCACUGCCCCAUGGAUACCUAUAUGCGUCGCAAGUGCCAGGAGUGUCGGCUUCGCAAAUGCCGCCAGGCUGGCAUGCGGGAGGAGUGUGUCCUGUCAGAAGAACAGAUCCGCCUGAAGAAACUGAA
rnacentral:sRNA from 1 species